CAGGGUGUGGGAUAACUUGGUAGUCCGCCGGCUUCGGGAGCCGGAGAGUGCUGGUUCGAGUCCAGCCAUCCUGA
rnacentral:tRNA from 1 species